UGCAGAAUGAAACCGUGUACGUCUCCUGCAAGCAGAAGGAGCUUGCCAUGAUGGAACAGUACUACACUAAAGGCUCUCUUUGUUAAUCAGUUGGCUUUGCAACAUUUCAUCACGAAAGUAAAUUACAUAGGGAAGGGAGAUGAGAAAAAAUGGAAAUACAUUUAUUCAAGUUCUAUCAUUUCUGACAAGGACAGACAUAAAGUAGACAUCCCUGCUUUCAGUGGGAAAGAUUUGGCUGCUUUAGGGCUUUAAAUUAAAAGGUAAUAUUUUAGCUUGUUGUAGGGCUUAUUUUUUUCUUUUUAAAGGAGAAUUGCAUGCACUUAUAUCACCCCUUCACCUGAUUCAAGCUCAUAUUUACUGUCUCGGUGUGAAAGACACCCCACCAUCUGUGAUUUUUAUUGAAAGAAGAUACCAGCCCAUAAGAAGCAGCUAAUGCUAAACUGGAGCAGCUGUGCACUGUCUCCAAAAAGAAUUAUGGGGCAUGUAUUGAAUGUAUGGCAUUGCUUUGUAAGGAUUUGCUGUGAUACAGUUUGGUAACAACAAAAAUGUUGAGAGUGUGAGCUGCACAACUUGCUGCUUUGAAGACUGGGAUUUUUGCACAUACAGGUCAACAUAGUUUCUUCUCCCACGUUUUCAGACACGGUGUAAUUCCACAACAUAUGUCACUACUUGCCACACAAGUAAUUAACCCUGUCUACAUGAUAGGGAAUACAUUAAUUUAAUUACUAUGAGUAAAAAAAAAUUGCUAAGGGUUGUCCUGAAAGCCAUGGGGUCUCAAGAUUUUCAAAA